rnacentral:rRNA from 1 species
GAUCCUGGCUCAGGACGAACGCUGGCGGCGUGCCUAACACAUGCAAGUCGAACGGAAGUUGGAGCUUCGGUUUUAACUUUAGUGGCGAACGGGUGAGUAACGCGUGAGGAACCUGCCUUUCAGUGGGGGACAACAGUUGGAAACGACUGCUAAUACCGCAUGACACUUUUGGGAGACAUCUCCUGGAAGUCAAAGCUUUAUGUGCUGAAAGAUGGCCUCGCGUCUGAUUAGCUGGUUGGUGAGGGUAACGG